CCAGGGUAAUAGUAUGAGAGAGAGGGUGUGUGUGUGUGGGUGUGUAUGUAUGUGUGUGUGUGAGAGAGAGCACGCACAUGUGUGUGCAAGAGAGCCAUUGGGUUCUAGCUCCCUCUCUGUCACUCACCAGCUGCAUGAUCUUGUGCCCACCACCUGCACUCUGGGCUGAAAUAACUCACCAUCCUGAGAAGGGUGCUUCUGAAGGCUGUGAUGGUGGGAAGUCCUGCAGAGUCAGGGCGUGGGCAAGAGCAGCCUGGGAGAGUGAUGGCACUCCAGUUGUCCCUCCCUCUCCCCACCUUCCGCCCUUUCAGAAGAGCAGGUGUCCUCCUUCCGUCCAUCCUCACUGCUGUGCUCCUUCAUGGCGGCUGCAGAUGACAUUCAUCGUUUGGGGCAGAUGGGCACUUGCCCUAAGGUGAGAGGGGCCUGCCAGGGUGUCAGGGCCCCAACAAGGGGAUGGAUCCAGAAGGUCUGGGCCCCAGAAGGGCUGGAUCCAGAAGGUCUGGGCCCCUGCAGGCUGCAGAAGUGCAGGAGAGCUGGCCCUGCAACCUGGGCCAAUGCAAAGGAGAGGGCCUGGGAGGACCCUCUAGUGCCCAUGGCUCCUCCUAGGCUCUCUGGACCCCAAGGGAGAGCCACUGGGCCAAUUCUAGCCCCACCGGCUGGUGGAGCCCUUCCCAGGUGGCUCAGGUAGGUGGGGUGAGUGGAUCUUGCAGCGGGCAGGUCUGUUCACAGCAAGGGUCGUAGUACCCAGAACAUGCUUGGCGCACAGUCUGGAACAGAGUAUAUUCUCAAUGUAUUAUUAUUUAAGGCUGUCCUCUUUUUAUUACGUGCCUUGUUCUUUGGGUGCUCCAAGUCUGAGAUGACACAGAGGUAGGCAAAAAAGAAAGAUGCAGUGUCGUAAAUCCGUAGUUUCUCGGUAGGAAUCUCUACGAACAAGACAAGACGCUCCUCAGGGAUGUGUGUGUGUGGGGUCAGGUCAGGGGUAGAGAGGGCUGGACCAGAGUCACCACUGCCUCUCUUCCCUUCCAUGCAAGGCUUCCUGUGGGAAGGGCAGUUUCUGAAGCCCCUUGGAGGAUGGGAGAGGAACUGGCUGGGGAAAAUGGGUGAGAACAAGGAUGUGGGGCUGAGAAGAAAGGCUUUCUCUCACAGUGCCAGGAGUUACAGGCUCCUCCCC
rnacentral:lncRNA from 1 species